rnacentral:pre_miRNA from 1 species
UCAUGUCAGAUGUGAGAUGAGCGUGAUCAGAUUAUACCGCAGCACAUCUCCACUCAUCUGUCAUGAGC